CAAUAGCGUAUAUUAAAGUUGUUGCAGUUAAAAAGCUCGUAGUUGAAUUUCUGGUCAGUUUUAGUCUUGGCUUCGGUCGGGCUAAGGUUGGCCAUCCGUCUGCAAGCUAUUCUCGGCCUUCAUUGGUUCGGAUUAGCGAGCUGACAUUUUACUUUGAAAAAUUAAGAGUGUUUCAGGCAGGCUUUUGUCCCGAACUAUACUAGCAUGGAAUAAUGGAAUUGGACUCUGGUCCAUUUGGUUGGUUAUUGGAUCUGAGUAAUGGUUAAUAGGGACAGUUGGGGGCGAUUAGUAUUUAAUUGUCAGAGGUGAAAUUCUUGGAUUUAUUAAAGACUAACUUAUGCGAAAGCAUUUGCCAAGGAUGUUUUCUAUUAAUUCAAGAACGAAAGUUAGGGGAGUCAAAGAUGAUUAGAUACCAU
rnacentral:rRNA from 1 species